AUGAACGCUGGCGGCGUGCCUCAUACCUGCCAGUCGAGCGAACAGAUGAGGAGCUUGCUCCUCUGACGUUAGCGGCGGACGGGUGAGUAACACGUGGAUAACCUACCUAUAAGACUGGGAUAACUUCGGGAAACCGGAGCUAAUACCGGAUAAUAUAUUGAACCGCAUGGUUCAAUAGUGAAAGACGGUUUUGCCGUCACUUAUAGAUGGAUCCGCGCCGCAUUAGCUAGUUGGUAAGGUAACGGCUUACCAAGGCAACGAUGCGUAGCCGACCUGAGAGGGUGAUCGGCCACACUGGAACUGAGACACGGUCCAGACUCCUACGGGAGGCAGCAGUAGGGAAUCUUCCGCAAUGGGCGAAAGCCUGACGGAGCAACGCCGCGUGAGUGAUGAAGGUCUUCGGAUCGUAAAACUCUGUUAUUAGGGAAGAACAAAUGUGUAAGUAACUAUGCACGUCUUGACGGUACCUAAUCAGAAAGCCACGGCUAACUACGUG
rnacentral:rRNA from 1 species